rnacentral:rRNA from 1 species
GCGAAUACCGGAGAAUGUUAUCACGGGAGACACACGGCGGGUGCUAACGUCCGUCGUGAAGAGGGAAACAACCCAGACCGCCAGCUAAGGUCCCAAAGUCAUGGUUAAGUGGGAAACGAUGUGGGAAGGCCCAGACAGCCAGGAUGUUGGCUUAGAAGCAGCCAUCAUUUAAAGAAAGCGUAAUAGCUCACUGGUCGAGUCGGCCUGCGCGGAAGAUGUAACGGGGCUAAACCAUGCACCGAAGCUGCGGCAGCGACGCUUAUGCGUUGUUGGGUAGGGGAGCGUUCUGUAAGCCUGCGAAGGUGUGCUGUGAGGCAUGCUGGAGGUAUCAGAAGUGCGAAUGCUGACAUAAGUAACGAUAAAGCGGGUGAAAAGCCCGCUCGCCGGAAGACCAAGGGUUCCUGUCCAACGUUAAUCGGGGCAGGGUGAGUCGACCCCUAAGGCGAGGCCGAAAGGCGUAGUCGAUGGGAAACAGGUUAAUAUUCCUGUACUUGGUGUUACUGCGAAGGGGGGACGGAGAAGGCUAUGUUGGCCGGGCGACGGUUGUCCCGGUUUAAGCGUGUAGGCUGGUUUUCCAGGCAAAUCCGGAAAAUCAAGGCUGAGGCGUGAUGACGAGGCACUACGGUGCUGAAGCAACAAAUGCCCUGCUUCCAGGAAAAGCCUCUAAGCAUCAGGUAACAUCAAAUCGUACCCCAAACCGACACAGGUGGUCAGGUAGAGAAUACCAAGGCGCUUGAGAGAACUCGGGUGAAGGAACUAGGCAAAAUGGUGCCGUAACUUCGGGAGAAGGCACGCUGAUAUGUAGGUGAAGUCCCUUGCGGAUGGAGCUGAAAUCAGUCGAAGAUACCAGCUGGCUGCAACUGUUUAUUAAAAACACAGCACUGUGCAAACACGAAAGUGGACGUAUACGGUGUGACGCCUGCCCGGUGCCGGAAGGUUAAUUGAUGGGGUCAGCGCAAGCGAAGCUCUUGAUCGAAGCCCCGGUAAACGGCGGCCGUAACUAUAACGGUCCUAAGGUAGCGAAAUUCCUUGUCGGGUAAGUUCCGACCUGCACGAAUGGCGUAAUGAUGGCCAGGCUGUCUCCACCCGAGACUCAGUGAAAUUGAACUCGCUGUGAAGAUGCAGUGUACCCGCGGCAAGACGGAAAGACCCCGUGAACCUUUACUAUAGCUUGACACUGAACAUUGAGCCUUGAUGUGUAGGAUAGGUGGGAGGCUUUGAAGUGUGGACGCCAGUCUGCAUGGAGCCGGCCUUGAAAUACCACCCUUUAAUGUUUGAUGUUCUAACGUGGACCCGUGAUCCGGGUUGCGGACAGUGUCUGGUGGGUAGUUUGACUGGGGCGGUCUCCUCCUAAAGAGUAACGGAGGAGCACGAAGGUUGGCUAAUCCUGGUCGGACAUCAGGAGGUUAGUGCAAUGGCAUAAGCCAGCUUGACUGCGAGCGUGACGGCGCGAGCAGGUGCGAAAGCAGGUCAUAGUGAUCCGGUGGUUCUGAAUGGAAGGGCCAUCGCUCAACGGAUAAAAGGUACUCCGGGGAUAACAGGCUGAUACCGCCCAAGAGUUCAUAUCGACGGCGGUGUUUGGCACCUCGAUGUCGGCUCAUCACAUCCUGGGGCUGAAGUAGGUCCCAAGGGUAUGGCUGUUCGCCAUUUAAAGUGGUACGCGAGCUGGGUUUAGAACGUCGUGAGACAGUUCGGUCCCUAUCUGCCGUGGGCGCUGGAGAACUGAGGGGGGCUGCUCCUAGUACGAGAGGACCGGAGUGGACGCAUCACUGGUGUUCGGGUUGUCAUGCCAAUGGCACUGCCCGGUAGCUAAAUGCGGAAGAGAUAAGUGCUGAAAGCAUCUAAGCACGAAACUUGCCCCGAGAUGAGUUCUCCCUGACCCUUUAAGGGUCCUGAAGGAACGUUGAAGACGACGACGUUGAUAGGCCGGGUGUGUAAGCGCAGCGAUGCGUUGAGCUAACCGGUACUAAUGAACCGUGAGGCUUAACCUUACAACGCCGAAG